UCAAGUGCUCAGUUCCAGCAGCGUGAUUGACCGAGAGCAUCUCCAUCUAUAUCCUAACAGUUGGUGAGCCCUCAUAGUUAGGGACCCAGUUAUUCAGAUUUUCAGCUUUUUAGAGUAAUUUAUACAGUUAUUUUCAGUCAGCUCGAGUCAGUUGGGGGUCUGUCCCAGCAACUCUCUAGUUAGUAGUAUUAGAGGAUUAUCCGACUAUUAGAUGUAUUUCAUACUUACAAUGUCAG
rnacentral:lncRNA from 1 species